AGAUAACAGAGAAAAUUAAGCAUGAAUGUUGCCAUUGUAAUUCGCGUUUGCGUAAAAGUAGGCCGUACUGAAAUUGUCAUGUCUCAACGGGAAUGUUACUUUUAGGACCGAUAACUGCAUUAGAAACCCUUGAAAAACAGCACAUUAUAGUGCCAUAAAAUUAAAUUACUACACACCGGAUAACAAAGAAAAAUAAGCAUGAAAGUUGCGAAGGUUGGGAUUUUAGUCUACAUGAAAAAUACAAAUACACCAUACUCUAUAUGCCUUCAUAUCCGUAUUUUACCCUCCCGCCGUCCGUUCGCAUUUUACCCUCUCAUCCGUCCGCAUUUUACCCUUCUGUCCGUCCGUGUUUUACCCUCUCAUCCAUCCGUCUGUCCGUCUGCCCUCUAUCCGUCUUUAAAAAUAUUUUCAUUGUCUAUACGACGCCCAACACCGUACCC